rnacentral:rRNA from 1 species
AGAGAAUAGAUACCCGGGUAGUCCUGGCCCUAAACGCUGCUCGCUCGUUCUGCGGAGUAUCGACCCUCUGCGGGACUAAAGCUAACGCGGUAAGCGAGCCGCCUGGGUAGUACGAGCGCAAGCUUAAAACUCAAAGGAAUAGACGGGGACUCGCACAAGCGGUGGAUCAUGUGGCUUAAUUCGUCGGUAAGCGAAGAACCUUACCCAGGCUAGAAACCAAACUGCAUCCUUUCCGAAAGGAGAGGAGCCUUCGAGGGUGUUUGGCAGGUGAUGCAUGGUUGUCGUCAGUUCGUGGCUUGAGCUGUUCCCUUCAGUGGGGUAACGAACGCAACCCUCGUUGUCUGUUAUAUAUGUCAGGCGAGACUGCCCCCUCACGGGGGAGGAAGGUGAGGAUGACGCCAAAUCAGCAUGUCCCUUGAUGCCUGGGGCUGCACACGUGAUACAAUGGUAGGUAACAGAAGGACGCAAUACCGUAAGGUGGAGCAAAUCCCAAAACCCUACCCAGUACGGAUUGAGGUCUGCAACCGACCUCAUGAAGCCGGAA